AUGUGCACGUCUUGUGAAAGCUGCAAACGGCGGGAUGAGUAUUUCUACAGAAAUUUGGAUGAUGAGAAGAAAUAUUUCUUGGUGCUUAUGAUUGGUGAUUUCCGAGAUGAGAUGAUAAUCCCAGAAGAACUUGUGCAGCGUUUCAAAAGGGAGAUCCUAGGGGAGAUCAAGCUAGAAACACGAAAUGGCGACAAUCACGCUAUUGUGGUCGCCAAGAUCCAAGAAAAGCGUAUCUUUACAGUGGGUUGGAGGCAAUUUGUUGCAAACUAUGAUCUACAGAUUGGUGAUCUCUUAAUGUUCAGAUACAAAGGAAACAGUCAGUUUAAUGUCAUAAUCUUUGAUAAACUUGGUCGUGAAAAGGCCUCAUCGGUUGUUCUGGAUCCUUUUAUACCUCGUGUCCAAGACAGGGGCAACGAGGCGCAUGAAAUCGGGUCUUCUGAAAAGAUGGAUGUGCAAUGUGGAAGAUGCAACAACUGGCUUGAAUAUCACUACGCGGACUUGGAUAAUGAAAAUAAAUAUUUCUUGAUGCUUAUGAUGGGCGAUUUUCAAUAUGAGAUGAUCAUCCCAGAAGGAAUUCUUGAGCGUUUCAAGGGCGAGUUCCCAAGAGAGAUCAAACUUGAAACACAAAAUCGUCGCAGCUACAAAAUUGGAGUCGCCGAGAACAAACUAGAUACUUGCUAUAAUCAAAAGCUUGUCUUUUCAGUGGGAUGGGGGGAGUUCAUCGAAACCUUUGGGCUACAGACGGAUGAUAUGAUAGUACUCAUAUACAAUGGCAACUCCCAAUUUAGUGUCAUAAUCUUCGAUAAACAUGGCUGCGAGAAGGCAUUAUCAGUUAUUGUAGACCCUGUUCCGCCUCCUGUUCAAGAAAGGCGUCCCUAUGGUACUGAUAUAGUGAAAAGUUCCCAUUUUCAUUCUCAGCCUAUGCAAAGGCAGCCAUUUAUCGUAGUGAAUGGGCUCCCAGUGGAAUCACCGCCAACCGAAGGGCAAUGGCGUGCCCAACUGGAAAUGGACAAGUCAUGUCAAGGCAGCAUGGCUGCAAUAAAUACUCCCCCCUCCGAGUCAUCUGGUCUCAGAGGUUCUUUAUCCUCUGAACAUGGCCAUGGAGUACGUGAUGUGCCCGUUUCCAGCAACAUUGUCAAGAGGAAGGCUAAGCUAUCUUCAUCUCAGAAGGAGCAGUUGAGGGAUGGUUACAUUACUGCACACAAGACCAAGCUAACUUCAACUCAAAAGGAUGUGGUGAAACAGAAGGUCCAAUCUAUUGAGUCAAAGACCCUCAUCUUUGUUGCUGUGAUGUACAAGUGCAAUGUGGAGUCACCAUUCUUUCUGACUUUCCCCAACUACUAUGCUCAAAAGUAUCUUGGAGAGGAGGCACGGAUGCAUCUUGAGCUGCUUGGUGUGAAGUGGCAAGUGCGGUUUCCAGACAAUCGUGGCGACAAAAAGCUCAAACAUGGAUGGAGAAAGUUUGCGCAAGGCAACAACCUGAAGAUGGGUGAUAUCUGCCUCUUUGAACUAUUGAGCAAUCAGAGUACCAUGGUGGUCUAUGUCAUCCCUGCAAAUGAUGCCAAUGUUGAUUGA
rnacentral:rRNA from 1 species